rnacentral:rRNA from 1 species
AGAGUUUGAUCCUGGCUCAGGACGAACGCUGGCGGCGUGCCUAACACAUGCAAGUCGAACGGAGAUGUUUAUUUCGGUAGACAUCUUAGUGGCGCACGGGUGAGUAACGCGUGAAUAACCUGACCCGAAGAGGGGGAUAACACCUGGAAACAAGUGCUAAUACCGCAUAAGACCACGGACCGGCAUCGGUCAGAGGUCAAAGGAGAAAUCCGCUUUGGGAGGGGUUCGCGUCCCAUUAGGUAGUUGGUGAGGUAACGGCCCACCAAGCCGACGAUGGGUAGCCGAGCUGAGAGGCUGAUCGGCCACACUGGAACUGAGACACGGUCCAGACUCCUACGGGAGGCAGCAGUGGGGAAUAUUGGGCAAUGGGCGCAAGCCUGACCCAGCAACGCCGCGUGAGGGAAGAAGGUUUUCGGAUUGUAAACCUCUGUCGCAGGGGACGAAGGAAGUGACGGUACCCUGUAAGAAAGCCCCGGCUAACUACGUGCCAGCAGCCGCGGUAAUACGUAGGGGGCGAGCGUUGUCCGGAAUUACUGGGCGUAAAGGGAGCGUAGGCGGUCGAUUAAGUUAGAUGUGAAACCCCCGGGCUUAACUUGGGGACUGCAUCUAAUACUGGUUGACUUAGAGUACAGGAGAGGGAAGCGGAAUUCCUAGUGUAGCGGUGAAAUGCGUAGAUAUUAGGAGGAACACCAGUGGCGAAGGCGGCUUUCUGGACUGACACUGACGCUGAGGCACGAAAGCGUGGGGAGCAAACAGGAUUAGAUACCCUGGUAGUCCACGCUGUAAACGAUGAAUACUAGGUGUCGGCUGUCAAAGGUCGGU